rnacentral:rRNA from 1 species
UACAGAGGGUGCGAGCGUUAAUCGGAAUUACUGGGCGUAAAGCGCACGUAGGCGGCUUGGUAUGUCGGGUGUGAAAUCCCCGGGCUCAACCUGGGAACUGCAUCCGAAACUGCCUUGCUCGAGUAUGGGAGAGGGAAGUGGAAUUUCCGGUGUAGCGGUGAAAUGCGUAGAUAUCGGAAGGAACAUCAGUGGCGAAGGCGGCAUCCUGGACCGACACUGACGCUGAGGAGCGAAAGCCAGGGGAGCAAACGGG